ensembl:miRNA
UCUCUGGCUUCAGGGAGUACGUGGAAAAUGAGCGCUUUGUGCUUCCCCUUGCCAG